UACGUAGGCAGCAAGCGUUGUUCGGAGUUACUGGGCGUAAAGGGUGUGUAGGCGGUUUUCUAAGUCUGGUGUGAAAUCUCCCGGCUCAACUGGGAGGGUGCGCCGAAUACUGAAUGACUUCGAGUGCGGGAGAGGAAAGUGGAAUUCCUGGUGUAGCGGUGAAAUGCGUAGAUAUCAGGAGGAACACCGGUGGUGUAGACGGCUUUCUGGACCGUAACUGACGCUGAGACACGAAAGCGUGGGUAGCAAACAGG
rnacentral:rRNA from 1 species